UACGGAGGGUGCAAGCGUUAUCCGGAUUCACUGGGUUUAAAGGGUGCGUAGGUGGGCAGGUAAGUCAGUGGUGAAAUCUCCGGGCUUAACCCGGAAACUGCCAUUGAUACUAUCGGUCUUGAAUACCGUGGAGGUGAGCGGAAUAUGUCAUGUAGCGGUGAAAUGCUUAGAUAUGACAUAGAACACCAAUUGCGAAGGCAGCUCACUACACGAAUAUUGACACUGAGGCACGAAAGCGUGGGGAUCAAACAGG
rnacentral:rRNA from 1 species